AGUGAACGCUGGCGGUAGGCCUAACACAUGCAAGUCGAACGGCAGCGCAGUAAGAGCUUGCUCUUACGGGUGGCGAGUGGCGGACGGGUGAGGAAUACAUCGAAUUCUCUUUUUUCUUGGGGGUUAACGUAGGGAAACUUACGUUAUUACCGCUUCCGCCCUACGGUUGAAAGCAGGGGGUCUUCGAACUUUGCGCGUUUGAUUGAGCCGAUGUCGGAUUAGCUAGUUGGCGGGGUAAAGGCCCACCAAGGCGACGAUCCGUAGCUGGUCUGAGAGGAUGAUCAGCCACACUGGAACUGAGACACGGUCCAGACUCCUACGGGAGGCAGCAGUGGGGAAUAUUGGACAAUGGGCGCAAGCCUGAUCCAGCCAUACCGCGUGGGUGAAGAAGGCCUUCGGGUUGUAAAGCCCUUUUGUUGGGAAAGAAAAGCAGCAGGUUAAUACCCCGCUGUUCUGACGGUACCCAAAGAAUAAGCACCGGCUAACUUCGUG
rnacentral:rRNA from 1 species